rnacentral:tRNA from 1 species
GUUGACGUGGCCUAGUGGUUAAUGCGAUGGAUUACAAAUCUCUUGGGAACUUCCCGCGCAGGUUCGAAACCUGCCGACAUUG